rnacentral:lncRNA from 1 species
UGGGGGAGAUGGACGGGGGCCGGCCAGGUGCGCGGCCAAGCUCCGGGCAGGAGGACGAGCCCCUUCCCAGCUGUGACUCCACCGCCUUCCGCGCGAGCCGGCCGCCUUCUCCUACCUGAUCUGGUUGUCGCGGAAUUUGUUGAGAUGCGGUUGGUUGAGGUAAAUGGUGCGGGCGGGUGCCUCCAGCUGGUCUCCAACAGACGUGGCCCGGGACAUCUCAUCCUCUGCCUUCUUAUAGCCCAAAGAAGAACGAACAGGUCCUGCAGAGACAGGGCGCAGGCAGAGAAUACGACA